rnacentral:rRNA from 1 species
UCCUGGCGACUAUAGCGGUUUGGAACCACCUGAUCCCAUCUCGAACUCAGAAGUGAAACAUACCUGCGCCAAUGAUAGUGUGGGGCUUCCCC